rnacentral:rRNA from 2 species
CACAGGGAUUGCCCCAGUAACGGCGAGUGAAGCGGCAACAGCUCAAAUUUGAAAUCUGGCCCCAGGCCCGAGUUGUAAUUUGCAGAGGAUGCUUUUGGCGCGGUGCCUUCCGAGUUCCCUGGAACGGGACGCCAUAGAGGGUGAGAGCCCCGUACGGUUGGACACCAAGCCUUUGUAAAGCUCCUUCGACGAGUCGAGUAGUUUGGGAAUGCUGCUCUAAAUGGGAGGUACAUUUCUUCUAAAGCUAAAUAUUGGCCAGAGACCGAUAGCGCACAAGUAGAGUGAUCGAAAGAUGAAAAGCACUUUGAAAAGAGGGUUAAACAGCACGUGAAAUUGUUAAAAGGGAAGCGCUUGUGACCAGACUUGCGUCCGGUGAAUCACCCAGCUCUCGCGGCUGGGGCACUUCGCCGGCACAGGCCAGCAUCAGCUUGCCGUCGGGGACAAAAGCUUCAGGAACGUAGCUCCUCUCGGGGAGUGUUAUAGCCUGUUGUAUAAUACCCUUCGGCGGGCUGAGGUACGCGCUCCGCAAGGAUGCUGGCGUAAUGGUCAUCAGCGACCCGUCUUGAAACACGGACCAAGGAGUCAACCUUAUGUGCGAGUGUUUGGGUGUUAAACCCCUACGCGUAAUGAAAGUGAACGCAGGUGAGAGCUUCGGCGCAUCAUCGACCGAUCCUGAUGUUCUCGGAUGGAUUUGAGUAAGAGCAUAUAGGGUUGGACCCGAAAGAAGGUGAACUAUGCGUGUGUAGGGUGAAGCCAGAGGAAACUCUGGUGGAGGCUCGCAGCGGUUCUGACGUGCAAAUCGAUCGUCAAACAUGCGCAUGGGGGCGAAAGACUAAUCGAAC